GAAGCGCAAUGGACCGAAAUGGAGCGCUUCUUUGCCCUUUCACGGCGAAAACAGGGGUUCGAUUCCCCUUGGGCGCGCCA
rnacentral:tRNA from 1 species